rnacentral:rRNA from 1 species
UCGUACGCUUCUUUUUCCCCGGAGCUUGCUCCACCGGAAAAAGAAGAGUGGCGAACGGGUGAGUAACACGUGGGUAACCUGCCCAUCAGAAGGGGAUAACACUUGGAAACAGGUGCUAAUACCGUAUAACAAUCGAAACCGCAUGGUUUUGAUUUGAAAGGCGCUUUCGGGUGUCGCUGAUGGAUGGACCCGCGGUGCAUUAGCUAGUUGGUGAGGUAACGGCUCACCAAGGCCACGAUGCAUAGCCGACCUGAGAGGGUGAUCGGCCACAUUGGGACUGAGACACGGCCCAAACUCCUACGGGAGGCAGCAGUAGGGAAUCUUCGGCAAUGGACGAAAGUCUGACCGAGCAACGCCGCGUGAGUGAAGAAGGUUUUCGGAUCGUAAAACUCUGUUGUUAGAGAAGAACAAGGAUGAGAGUAACUGUUCAUCCCUUGACGGUAUCUAACCAGAAAGCCACGGCUAACUACGUGCCAGCAGCCGCGGUAAUACGUAGGUGGCAAGCGUUGUCCGGAUUUAUUGGGCGUAAAGCGAGCGCAGGCGGUUUCUUAAGUCUGAUGUGAAAGCCCCCGGCUCAACCGGGGAGGGUCAUUGGAAACUGGGAGACUUGAGUGCAGAAGAGGAGAGUGGAAUUCCAUGUGUAGCGGUGAAAUGCGUAGAUAUAUGGAGGAACACCAGUGGCGAAGGCGGCUCUCUGGUCUGUAACUGACGCUGAGGCUCGAAAGCGUGGGGAGCAAACAGGAUUAGAUACCCUGGUAGUCCACGCCGUAAACGAUGAGUGCUAAGUGUUGGAGGGUUUCCGCCCUUCAGUGCUGCAGCUAACGCAUUAAGCACUCCGCCUGGGGAGUACGACCGCAAGGUUGAAACUCAAAGGAAUUGACGGGGGCCCGCACAAGCGGUGGAGCAUGUGGUUUAAUUCGAAGCAACGCGAAGAACCUUACCAGGUCUUGACAUCCUUUGACCACUCUAGAGAUAGAGCUUCCCCUUCGGGGGCAAAGUGACAGGUGGUGCAUGGUUGUCGUCAGCUCGUGUCGUGAGAUGUUGGGUUAAGUCCCGCAACGAGCGCAACCCUUAUUGUUAGUUGCCAUCAUUUAGUUGGGCACUCUAGCAAGACUGCCGGUGACAAACCGGAGGAAGGUGGGGAUGACGUCAAAUCAUCAUGCCCCUUAUGACCUGGGCUACACACGUGCUACAAUGGGAAGUACAACGAGUCGCGAAGUCGCGAGGCUAAGCUAAUCUCUUAAAGCUUCUCUCAGUUCGGAUUGUAGGCUGCAACUCGCCUACAUGAAGCCGGAAUCGCUAGUAAUCGCGGAUCAGCACGCCGCGGUGAAUACGUUCCCGGGCCUUGUACACACCGCCCGUCACACCACGAGAGUUUGUAACACCCGAAGUCGGUGAGGUAACCU